CGCUGAAUCGGACGCGCACUGGCGGUAGCGAUUCAGGGACACCUCUACUACGGGAUAGAUGCUGAGACAGAGGAAUGGGUGGCGAAGUGAGCGCCCUUGCAUCGAACGGCUGACGGGU
rnacentral:ncRNA from 1 species